rnacentral:rRNA from 1 species
CACGUAGGGGCCAAGCGUUGUCCGGAUUUAUUGGGCGUAAAGAGCUCGUAGGCGGUUCGACAAGUCGGGUGUGAAAACUCCGGGCUCAACCCGGAGACGCCACCCGAUACUGUCGUGACUGGAGUCCGGUAGGGGAGUGGGGAAUUCCUGGUGUAGCGGUGAAAUGCGCAGAUAUCAGGAGGAACACCGGUGGCGAAGGCGGCGCUCUGGGCUGGAACUGACGCUGAGGAGCGAAAGCGUGGGGAGCGAACAGG